rnacentral:rRNA from 1 species
UACGAAGGGGGCUAGCGUUGCUCGGAAUCACUGGGCGUAAAGGGCGUGUAGGCGGGAAGGAAAGUCAGAUGUGAAAUCCCUGGGCUCAACCCAGGAACUGCAUUUGAAACUCCCUUUCUUGAGUACCGGAGAGGAAGGUGGAAUACCUGGUGUAGAGGUGAAAUUCGUAGAUAUCGGGAGGAACACCAGUGGCGAAGGCGGCGAUCUGGACAGAUAUUGACGCUGAGGUGCGAAAGCGUGGGGAGCAAACAGG